rnacentral:rRNA from 1 species
AUUGAACGCUGGCGGCAUGCCUUACACAUGCAAGUCGAACGGCAGCGCGGACUUCGGUCUGGCGGCGAGUGGCGAACGGGUGAGUAAUACAUCGGAACGUACCCUGUUGUGGGGGAUAACUAGUCGAAAGAUUAGCUAAUACCGCAUACGACCUGAGGGUGAAAGUGGGGGACCGGAAACGGCCUCAUGCAGCAGGAGCGGCCGAUGUCUGAUUAGCUAGUUGGUGGGGUAAAGGCCCACCAAGGCGACGAUCAGUGGCUGGUCUGAGAGGACGAUCAGCCACACUGGGACUGAGACACGGCCCAGACUCCUACGGGAGGCAGCAGUGGGGAAUUUUGGACAAUGGGGGCAACCCUGAUCCAGCAAUGCCGCGUGUGUGAAGAAGGCCUUCGGGUUGUAAAGCACUUUUGUCCGGAAAGAAAUCGCGCUGGUUAAUACCUGGCGUGGAUGACGGUACCGGAAGAAUAAGCACCGGCUAACUACGUG